AAACAAUUGUAAACAGCUAAAAUAGUUGGAGUGACGUCCUCUACUCAACCUCAAGCCACUCCUUCUUCCUCUACUCAACGAAGUUGCUGCAGCAGGGAACCAGAACAAGAGCUAACUGUGAAAUGAUGAUAAGCAAGACAUUUUUGCAUCUGUGGUUCCUUUCCGUAUUCGUGGGUUCCUAUGGUGAAGAAAAUACUGAGAAAAUGAAAGGAAUUCUGGGAGAACCUGCAACUUUCCUGCUGAACACUUUAGAAGAAAUCAAAAAGAUUUCCUGGGCUAGAAGUAAGGAAAAGCAAGCUAUUCAAAUUUUUGUGGCAGCAAUUCCACGAAAGGAUCCAGAAGAGAGAUGUGAACUCAUUGACCAAAUUCGAGCAUAUAGAGGGCGGCUGGAUGUUUCUGAGGACUGCAAGACGUUACAAAUCAAUAAUCUAAGUCAAGAGGAUUCUGGCCCAUACACAGCACAGAUCUGGAUAGCUGAUGACAAAGAUCCAAUAAGGGAAACCUUUUCCCUGAUGGUAUAUAAGCGUUUAUUGGAGGCUGACCUGGAGAUUGUCUGUGACCCAAAAGAUUAUCAUGGUGGGAAUGGAACUCUGCAGCUGAACUGCUCUGCAGGCAGCUGGGAAGAUGAUGCCACGUUCAGCUGGGCCCCAGCCAGCAAGAGUGAAUCCACCGGCAGAUCUCUUGUCACCAGGCACAAUUUAGAAGGCAAUGAUUUGAACUUCACUUGCAAAGUAGAGAACCCUGUUAGCAAAGCAUCCAAAACAGUGUCUGUCCAGAAAAUUUGCCGUGAGCACCAAGCGACGACACCUGGGAUGUGGUCCCCCCCGCAGACUGACAACCUACUGGCAGCACCUCUAAGGUCAUAUGGUCUAUCCUUGCAGUGAUAGUUGUAAUCAUCUGCGCUGGUCUUUUUGUGUGGAUGAUGAAGAAAAGAGGUUCCCACAGGAAACAGCUGGAUUCUGCACAUCAGUCAGAAUCCAAAGAGUGCCACACUGUUUAUUCUCAAAUUGAAAACAUUCCCCAG